GACGAACCGUCCAAACGUUGUUCGGAAUCACUGGGCUUAAAGGGCGCGUAGGCGGGUUCCCAAGUCGGUGGUGAAAUCUUUCGGCCCAACCGGAAAACAGCCGCCGAUACUGGGAGUCUCGAGGGAGGUAGGGGUCGAUGGAACUCCAGGUGGAGCGGUGAAAUGCGUAGAGAUCGGAAAGAACACCAACGGCGAAAGCACUCUGCUGGGCCGACACU
rnacentral:rRNA from 1 species